rnacentral:rRNA from 1 species
CCUACGGGAGGCAGCAGUGGGGAAUAUUGGACAAUGGGCGCAAGCCUGAUCCAGCAAUGCCGCGUGUGUGAAGAAGGCCUUCGGGUUGUAAAGCUCUUUUGUCCGGGAAGAAAGCGCGCGGGCUAAUACCCGGGGGGACUGACGGUACCCGAAGAAAAAGCCCCGGCUAACUUCGUGCCAGCAGCCGCGAUAAUA